rnacentral:rRNA from 1 species
AGAAGAUUGGUGCUUGCACUGAUCCGAUCGAGUGGCGGACGGGUGAGUAACGCGUGGGUAACCUGCCUCAUACAGGGGAAUAACAGUUGGAAACGGCUGCUAAAACCGCAUAAGCGCACGGUAUCGCAUGAUACAGUGUGAAAAACUCCGGUGGUAUGAGAUGGACCCGCGUCUGAUUAGCUAGUUGGUGAGGUAACGGCCCACCAAGGCAACGAUCGGUAGCCGGACUGAGAGGAAGGUCCCCACAUUGGAACUGAGACACGGUCCAAACUCC